GACGAACGCUGGCGGCGUGCUUAACACAUGCAAGUCGAACGGAAAGGCCUCUUUCGGGGGGUACUCGAGUGGCGAACGGGUGAGUAACACGUGAGUAACCUGCCCUUGACUUUGGGAUAACUUCAGGAAACUGGGGCUAAUACCGGAUAGGAGCUCCUGCUGCAUGGUGGGGGUUGGAAAGUUUCGGCGGUUGGGGAUGGACUCGCGGCUUAUCAGCUUGUUGGUGGGGUAGUGGCUUACCAAGGCUUUGACGGGUAGCCGGCCUGAGAGGGUGACCGGCCACAGUGGGACUGAGAUACGGCCCAGACUCCUACGGGAGGCAGCAGUGGGGAAUAUUGCACAAUGGGCGGAAGCCUGAUGCAGCAACGCCGUGUGCGGGAUGACGGCCUUCGGGUUGUAAACCGCUUUCGCUCAUGACGAAGCUUUGUGUGACGGUAGUGGGUAAAGAAGCACCGGCUAACUACGUG
rnacentral:rRNA from 1 species